CAGUUGGACUAGGACAGUAGCACCGGAGCAUUGCACUCCUCAGGUACUCAGUUCACCCAGACGCACUCCAUGUCAAGACGAUCUGUGCUGACAUAGACUAUCACAAGUCCUACUCACUAGUUCAUACUCCAAAUGCCAGCAAUUACCCUCAGGAGGAGCCCAACCUGGGAGCCAGGAAAUCCAUCCUGCCUACCCAUGCAAAUGCCUCCCACUUCCACAGCCAACUGGGAACAGACGAGUCCAUGAUUGAUGAUAAUGGCCUGCUACCUCAUAUUUGGAGAAUAAGUCAGCUUCUACAAUACCAAGCAAGAUUAACGAAAGUACUGGAGAAGACAGAUGCUGAAGUGCCAAUUUCCUACUGAGAGCCUUGGCCGGAAAUGACAGCCAGCCAUGAAAUGUACCUCCCACCAUACACGUUAAUUUACAAAUAUAUCUACGAAAUGUUCAGUCAAUGUAUCAUUGACAAGGAACACACUUUACUAGCAAAUUUUUACCAUCUUAGGAAAGCAAUCUGCGUGUGAAACUUGCUUUGCUGGUUAGAGAUCUCACUGUGCAG